rnacentral:rRNA from 1 species
GACGUAGGAUGCAAGCGUCAUCCGGAAUUAUUGGGCGUAAAGAGUUCGUAGACGAAUUGUUAAGUAGGAUGUUAAAGAUCAGGGCCUAACCCUGGGAAGGCAUUCUAAACUGGCAGAAUAGAGCAAUGUAGAGGCAAGUAGAAUUCUGUGUGUAGGGGUAAUAUCCGUAGAUAUACAGAGGAAUACCAAAAGCGAAGGCAGCUUGCUGGGCAUUUGCUGACGUUCAAGAACGAAAGCGUGGGGAGCAAACAGG